rnacentral:tRNA from 1 species
UGCCAGAUCGUCUAAUGGUAGGACGACGGUCUCUGAAACCGUUAAUCAUAGUUCGAAUCUAUGUCUGGCAA